rnacentral:rRNA from 1 species
AGUUUGAUCAUGGCUCAGGACGAACGCUGGCGGCGUGCCUAAUACAUGCAAGUCGAGCGCAGGAAGCUCACGGAACUCUUCGGAGGGAAGUGAAGGGAAUGAGCGGCGGACGGGUGAGUAACACGUAAGGAACCUGCCCCAAGGAUUGGGAUAACUCCGAGAAAUCGGAGCUAAUACCGAAUAGUUCUUCAGACCGCAUGGUCUGAUGAUGAAAGGCGCUUCGGCGUCACCUUGGGAUGGCCUUGCGGUGCAUUAGCUAGUUGGUGGGGUAAUGGCCCACCAAGGCGACGAUGCAUAGCCGACCUGAGAGGGUGAUCGGCCACACUGGGACUGAGACACGGCCCAGACUCCUACGGGAGGCAGCAGUAGGGAAUCUUCCACAAUGGACGAAAGUCUGAUGGAGCAACGCCGCGUGAGUGAUGAAGGUUUUCGGAUCGUAAAACUCUGUUGUAAGGGAAGAACAGGUAUGAGAGGUAAUGCUCAUGCUAUGACGGUACCUUGCGAGAAAGCCACGGCUAACUACGUGCCAGCAGCCGCGGUAAUACGUAGGUGGCAAGCGUUGUCCGGAAUUAUUGGGCGUAAAGCGCGCGCAGGCGGCCUUUUAAGUCUGAUGUGAAAGCCCCCGGCUCAACCGGGGAGGGUCAUUGGAAACUGGAAGGCUUGAGUACAGAAGAGAAGAGUGGAAUUCCAUGUGUAGCGGUGAAAUGCGUAGAGAUGUGGAGGAACACCAGUGGCGAAGGCGACUCUUUGGUCUGUAACUGACGCUGAGGCGCGAAAGCGUGGGGAGCAAACAGGAUUAGAUACCCUGGUAGUCCACGCCGUAAACGAUGAGUGCUAGGUGUUGGGGGGUUUCCGCCCCUCAGUGCUGAAGCUAACGCAUUAAGCACUCCGC